ACUCUCCAAACGACUAUGGCUUGCAAUCAAACGUCCAAUAUGAACUCUGGAUUUCGUUGAGGAGAGGAGUGCCAUUUACCUCCUUAUUAUGAUCUCAAAUCCUGAUGCAUAAUCCCUCGAUGAGCGAAUUUGCUCUCCAUUAGGAGGCUAUCAAUCUAACCUGCCAACUUAAUGGGUUGGAUUAGCUCCUCACCAUAAUUGGCCCUUAACAUGCUCUAUGAUGGAGAAAUGUAUUGCUCCCACAUUGAGUAGUUGAUCGAAUUUCUCGUAGGCUAAUUAAUUGCAAAACACCAAGGAUGGGGCUAUUUUAAAUUCUAGAUUUCUUGCUUGGAGGAUGCUGCAUUAAUCCAGAUGCCUGGCCUAGGUCCAAGAUGAAGUUGAGAAGUUAGACAAAAAAUAAUAGAUAAAUGAAAAAUAGGAUAAAAUUAGUUCUACUAGGCUCGUAUUAUGUGUAUAAAAAUUCGUUCUACCGCAUGAUAGGAGGAGAUUAAUACAAUUCUCAUAAUUAGGUAGCUAAAUAUUGAUUUGCCAAGCCAAUUUAAAUGGGUCCAAAGAACUUCUUAUGUACUCGAGUAGGAUACCAUUUUGCACAAAAUAAACAAGUUACAUAUCCCUUCAUAAUUGUCAAAUUAGUGAAAUAAAGGCUAGAUUUUAUAUAAAACUAAUUUAACUAUAGUGGAUUAAUUUUUGAUAAAUCAAAAUAUUAUAUAAAUGAUGAUAAACCUAAAAAGUACAUGUACUCGGAAUC
rnacentral:lncRNA from 1 species